CAUCGGUUCUACGGCACCGCCGACGUGUCGGCAUCGCAGUGACCGAGGGAGAUGCGCCGCACUCAUGGAGUGAAAAAUCAAGGAGUGGGUAGAGUUUGGUAGGUCCCAUCGGACUCGAAGAAGUCAGACCCC
ncrna:unclassified sequences RT-3 RNA